rnacentral:rRNA from 1 species
CAGCGACGCCGCGUGUGGGAUGAAGCUCUUCGGGGUGUAAACCACUGUUGCCCGGGACGAACUUCUGGUUUCUACCAGAUUGACGGUACCGGGUGAGGAAGCACCGGCUAACUCUGUGCCAGCAGCCGCGGUAAUACAGAGGGUGCGAGCGUUGUCCGGAAUCACUGGGCGUAAAGGGCGCGUAGGUGGCUUGUUAAGCGUGUGGUGAAAGCCUGGGGCUCAACCCCAGGUCUGCCGUGCGUACUGGCGAGCUUGAGCGUAGUAGAGGCAGGUGGAAUUUCGGGUGUAGCGGUGGAAUGCGUAGAUAUCCGAAAGAACACCGGUGGCGAAGGCGGCCUGCUGGGCUACUGCUGACACUGAGGCGCGACAGCGUGGGGAGCAAACAGGAUUAGAUACCCUGGUAGUCCACGCCGUAAACGAUGGGUACUAGGCGUCUGGGGGAGCGACCCCCUGGGUGCCGGCGCUAACGCAUGAAGUACCCCGCCUGGGGAGUACGGCCGCAAGGCUG